GACGAACGCUGGCGGCGUGCCUAAUACAUGCAAGUAGAACGCUGAAGGAGGAGCUUGCUUCUCUGGAUGAGUUGCGAACGGGUGAGUAACGCGUAGGUAACCUGCCUGGUAGCGGGGGAUAACUAUUGGAAACGAUAGCUAAUACCGCAUAAGAGUGGAUGUUGCAUGACAUUUGCUUAAAAGGUGCACUUGCAUCACUACCAGAUGGACCUGCGUUGUAUUAGCUAGUUGGUGGGGUAACGGCUCACCAAGGCGACGAUACAUAGCCGACCUGAGAGGGUGAUCGGCCACACUGGGACUGAGACACGGCCCAGACUCCUACGGGAGGCAGCAGUAGGGAAUCUUCGGCAAUGGACGGAAGUCUGACCGAGCAACGCCGCGUGAGUGAAGAAGGUUUUCGGAUCGUAAAGCUCUGUUGUAGGAGAAGAACGAGUGUGAGAGUGGAAAGUUCACACUGUG
rnacentral:rRNA from 1 species